UGGGGAAUAUUGGACAAUGGGGGCAACCCUGAUCCAGCAAUGCCGCGUGUGUGAAGAAGGUCUUCGGAUUGUAAAGCACUUUCGACGGGGACGAUGAUGACGGUACCCGUAGAAGAAGCCCCGGCUAACUUCGUGCCAGCAGCCGCGGUAAUACGAAGGGGGCUAGCGUUACUCGGAAUGACUGGGCGUAAAGGGCGUGUAGGCGGUUUACACAGUCAGAUGUGAAAUCCCCGGGCUUAACCUGGGAGCUGCAUUUGAUACGUGUAGACUAGAGUGUGAGAGAGGGUUGUGGAAUUCCCAGUGUAGAGGUGAAAUUCGUAGAUAUUGGGAAGAACACCGGUGGCGAAGGCGGCAACCUGGCUCAUGACUGACGCUGAGGCGCGAAAGCGUGGGGAGCAAACAGGAUUAGAUACCCUGGUAGUCCACGCUGUAAACGAUGUGUGCUAGAUGUUGGGUAACUUUGGUUAUUCAGUGUCGCAGUUAACGCGUUAAG
rnacentral:rRNA from 1 species